rnacentral:rRNA from 1 species
AUUGAACGCUGGCGGCAUGCCUUACACAUGCAAGUCGAACGGCAGCACGGGAGCAAUCCUGGUGGCGAGUGGCGAACGGGUGAGUAAUAUAUCGGAACGUGCCCAGUCGUGGGGGAUAACGUAGCGAAAGCUACGCUAAUACCGCAUACGAUCUAUGGAUGAAAGCGGGGGAUCGCAAGACCUCGCGCGAUUGGAGCGGCCGAUAUCAGAUUAGGUAGUUGGUGAGGUAAAAGGGCUCACCAAAGCCGACGAUCUGUAGCUGGUCUGAGAGGACGACCAGCCACACUGGGACUGAGACACGGCCCAGACUCCUACGGGAGGCAGCAGUGGGGAAUUUUGGACAAUGGGCGCAAGCCUGAUCCAGCAAUGCCGCGUGCAGGAUGAAGGCC